CCUUCCCUGGCCACAGAAGACUCUGUGACAUCAAAGAGGAGUUCUAUAGGAUUGCAGAUGGUCUGCAAUGCUGACUGUGUGAUCAGCAAUGUUGUGGCAAAAUGGCCUGGCUCAGUCCAUGACUCCAGAAUCCAUCGGGCCUCUGAAAUCUAUCAGUGCCUAUCACAAGGUGAAUUCUCUGGUGUGUUGCUGGGAGACAGGGGGUAUGGCU